rnacentral:misc_RNA from 1 species
AGCAGCCGCGGUAAUUCCAGCUCCAAUAGCGUAUAUUAAAGUUGUUGCAGUUAAAAGCUCGUAGUUGAAUUUCGGGAUCAAAGAAUCGGUCAUGCCUUGGUAUGUACUGGUUUUAUUGGUUCUCACCUUCUAAAGAACCAUGAUGUCAUUCAUUUGAUGUUAUGGGGAAUUAGGACUGUUACCUUGAAAAAAUUAGAGUGUUUAAAGCAGGCUUACGCUUGAAUACAUUAGCAUGGAAUAAUGAAAUAGGACAUCAGAUUCUAUUUUGUUGGUUUCUAGGAUCGAUGUAAUGAUUAAUAGGGAUAGUUGGGGGCAUUAGUAUUCAAUUGUCAGAGGUGAAAUUCUUGGAUUUAUUGAAGACUAACUACUGCGAAAGCAUUUUGCCAAGGAUGUUUUCAUUAAUCAAGAACGAAAGUUAGGGGAUCGAAGACGAUCAGAUACCGUCGUAGUCUUAACCAUAAACUAUGCCGACUAGGGAUCGGAUGAUGUUAAUUUUAUAAUGACUCAUUCGGCACCUUAC